GAGCGGGUGGAGGAAGAUAGGGGGGCUCUAGGGAGAAUGGGGUUUGUUUAUCCAGGAACCAGCCUGUAACUCCUGGGGAGAGGGGAGCGGAGAGGGGGCAAAUGCGGGAGAAAGGGAGAAAGCGAGGCAACUCGGGGCUCAAAACAGUCCAAUUCAAAUUAAAAGGUCAAGACACGAUUCAGGUUCGUCAGGUUUGGCCUGGGAACUCAGUGUGGGGACCUUCAGUCACAGAAGCUGAUUGAGUUGCAAGCUCCCAGUGGAAUCUCUUCUGUCUGGGGUGGGCCAGGAAACGGAAUCUGGAGAACAACUUGUCUUUCCGGUCGCCCCGCAUUUUCCCUUGGAUAAAGCCGCCUCGGGUUUCGACUUUCGGAAGGGCUGGAGCGUGGCUGGGAAAAGGACCGGAGCUCCAGGCGCCCUGGCGUGGAGUGAGGAGGCUGGAUCGCUUCUAGGGAGGCCCAAGCCCCCGCUGCUAGAACGUGACUUCGGAAAGAAAUCCGCCGAAUUCUCUCAUCCAGGGGGUGAGAGAGAAGGCACAGGGGUCCCUGAAUUUCGGGAAAACUGGAAGAAAAUUUGUAAUGUGUGACUUGCUUGCAGGGCCAGCCAGAGGAGAUCUGAAAUGGUUUUGUGCUUUCAUUUGCAGGGUUAGCGGUAGGCUCAGCACAGGUUUGGCCUGGGCAAGGUUAGGCUGUUUAGGCCCCAGACAAGACUUGGGACAGCCUCGGCAGCCGUCAAUCCAGGGAGCCAUUUGUCCCACCGCCCACCCCGCGGGAAAUGGCAGAGACUUUAUGACCACUCUGUUUGUAUUAUCUGCAUAAGUCUUUCCCCACCAGUUUGAUCGAAACUGUUCGCUUUUACGAGGACCCAACGAAAAUUCCCCGUCAUAUUUAUCAGCCGGGGAUAAAAAUUUAGUAUGGGAACUGAUAUUUCCUCAUUUAUGGGGCGAUGAAAUUAAAGACCAAAGCAAUUGAGAAUUAUAUGGCUUUGGGGGGUUCCCUCCCCCCUCUUUCACAUCUCCUUUAUUUUCCUUCCUGGUGUGCCUGUUCCUGGAGUUUGGAAUCCCAGUCCCCUGCCCUUGCCCUCAUUUUGGGGUUUGCUGGGCCCUCUCCCCACACCCAAAUACUGCUUGGCCACGUCAGCUUUUCCUGCUUUUUCUUUGAAUAAAAACCUGCAAUCCUGGAGCCUCUGCCCUGGCCUGGCCGUGGAAGGUUGCAAAGAGCCUUGAACGGGAAGAGUGUGAGCCCAGCCUGGGACGGAGUGUGGGAGGCAGUGGGAGGAGAGUGCUGGAGACGAACUCCAGAUUACCUCUCAAAAAACAGCAAGCCCCAAAGUUUAACUCAGGGAACCGGCGGAAGAGGAACAGAGUCACUCGGCCUCCGGACCUAUCUCCCCCUAAGCCCUACCCCAGUCCCAAACUCACUCCUUACCUCUGCCACGGGAGGGGAUGGAGUCACUUCAGAAUCCUUGCCAUUAUUAAUGGAACAAUUCCCUCCGGGGAGAAGAAGCCUCCCGCCUCUAUUCCCACCUCCUCACAAGAACAAAUAGUGUUUAAAGUUGAAAUAAUUAGAAGUAUGAUAAACACGGCCCAUUAAUGAAAAAAGAAAUCAAAUUCAUCAGCCUAAGUGGGACCCCCGGUGGGACAAAUGUUUGCCUCUAAUUACGCAGGAUAAACGCAAACCCGGAGCUGUUAAACAGGACCCGGUGGACGCAGACUUAAAUAACUUGUUAGGUUUUUGCAGACUUUGGGAUUCUACCCCAGUGGAGGCAGAAGGAAGGAAGGCUUGAGGGUGAGGAAGUGGCAAGGGGAGCACUGGUGCGGGCUGAGAAAAAUACAGACGGAUGUGGGUCCCAGCCCUGCCCCCUUGGGCUCGGUCUUUCCAGAGGCCACGAGCAAAGGCUGUUUCAGUCCUAUUGUCCGGGCCUGGCGUUCAAAGGCACUCGGGCUGCCACGGCCAUCCGCCUGCCGCCGCUGAACUCCUGGAGAACUGGAUGGGGGUCCAGGAGAAGUCUGUGUUGUUAGAAUCACCCUGUUAAGCUGUUUCCCCAACUUUCUGGGAGUGCCGAGAGACCUGCACCUAAGCCUGACUCCGGGGCUCCACCUUCUCGCCGCAACUUGGUGAUAUGAAAAUCCAGAGGCUGCAAACCAGAGUCGGCUCAGGCUGCACCUCCGCCUCAACCAACCGCAGCUACCCCAAGAACCCUGACCCCUUAUGCCCUUCCUCUCAUACCCAGACCCUGGAAGGGCAACAGGGAUAGGGGCUGGGCCUCCUGCCAUUUGUGGGACUGUGAUCGAGGAAGAGGAGCGGGUUCCAGAGGGCAGUCCUAGGGCUGAGGCACAAGGGGUUCCCCACGUGAAAACCUAAGGAAAAAGCAGUACUCAACCAGCAGAAAGGAACCUCGGUGGUUUUCCCAGCUCUCGACUUCAAUGCACCCCAGAAAUACCCUGAUUUCUCCAAGGAAAAUUAGCAGAGUUUCCGCAAGAGGGUAAAGAACUCAUCUGAGAAAUUCCAAGGGUGAAGUGAAAAAAAGAAGCGUCUCUCCCUUUGGGGUAAAGUAAUAAAAUAAAAUAAUAAAGUGUGUAUGUUGAAAUCUCUUCAAGUGAAAUGGAAAACAAAA